AGCGAACGCUAUCGGUAUGCUUAACACAUGCAAGUCGGACGGACUAAUUAGGGCUUGCUCCAAUUAGUUAGUGGCAGACGGGUGAGUAACACGUGGGAAUCUGCCCAUCAGUACGGAAUAACUUUUAGAAAUAAAAGCUAAUACCGUAUAUUCUCUACAGAGGAAAGAUUUAUCGCUGAUGGAUGAGCCCGCGUCAGAUUAGGUAGUUGGUGAGGUAACGGCUCACCAAGCCGACGAUCUGUAGCUGGUCUGAGAGGAUGAUCAGCCACACUGGGACUGAGACACGGCCCAGACUCCUACGGGAGGCAGCAGUGGGGAAUAUUGGACAAUGGGCGAAAGCCUGAUCCAGCAAUACCGAGUGAGUGAUAAAGGCCCUAGGGUUGUAAAGCUCUUUUAGCAAGGAAGAUAAUGACGUUACUUGCAGAAAAAGCCCCGGCUAACUCCGUG
rnacentral:rRNA from 1 species